CCCAAAUGUUCUAGGCAGGUGUCUAUAAGAGGCAAUGGAAAAUUAUCACGAACUGUUACUUUAUUUAAUGGUCUGUAAUCAACACAUUUUCUAACUUCGCCAUUUUUCUUUCGAACCAGGACUAAGGCAGACGCGUAUGCAAAUGACAACCGUCUUGGUUUGGUAGAAAUAGGAGUGUCAUCUUCACUUUGGUAUUUUGUAAGGUUUUUACCAAUAUCAAUGGGAUUUGUUUGAUCAACAACAUCUAUCAUACACAAAGAAGAAAAUGUAUCGGUAAACACAUCGAUCGACUCAUGAGCUAAAGCAGAAAAUGAGCAAUCUCCCUCCCGACGUGCGACUGACCUCUUUACAAUGUCAAGUGAAUGGAGCUUUUGAUAUAAAUUCGUUUUUAUUAAAGGCAGCUUUUUCAUAUUAUUCAUGUUCAAUAAAGUGUUUAUAGUGUACGUAUUUUGUAUCUGAUUGAGUUGAAUAUUUAACUUGGAUAAUGCAUCUCUACCAAGAAUCAUUGGCCAUUCCAUGUAUAUUUUUGGAAGGACGAUAAAGGUGUGACGUAUCGUGGUCUUGGCAAGUUGUACUCGCAUAUCCACAAAUCCUAACGUUAAUAAAUUUGGGCCUCCUAUUCCUCGCAACAUGGACGUCCUAGGUUCUCCAACAAGAGAUUUAGGGAGAACGUUUUCAUUAACGAAGCUUUUAGGGCUACCAGUAUCCAAAAGAGAAACUAAUUUUAGUGAUUUGCUCCAAACAUCUUGACUCUUAUAGGCAACACUUACCUCUUGGUUGGCGUUAAGAGUAAAAACUGGUUCCGUCACAGGCGUUGUUUCUAGAUGUUCAGGACCAUUUGUAGUAACGGCAAUCUGCUGAACCCGUUGAGGACAAUUUCGAUAGACAUGAUCAGUCUGACCGCACUUGAAACAGGACCCCGGAAGUCGAAUCGGCAUGCGGCAGAAGUUUUCCGAAUGUCCAUAUUUCCGGCAAUUAAGGCAUCUGGGAGUCGACUGGUUUGGUUCAGCUCGCGCAAUCUGGACUCGUGGUUGUUGAACAGACGAUUUCUGGACCGUUGUCUGUACACGUGUUCGUAUAUAUUCAUACUCUUUCAAUAGAGGUUUCAGCGUCUCGAUCGAUUUUGCCAUGAAUCGCAUGGAUGCAGUAUGUAUGGGGUCACCGAGACCGUCAAUGAUGAUAUGCACCAGUUCGUUUUCCGGAAUUGAAGCUGCCGCUGCAAUGUGUUGCAUGUCUAACAAAUAUCUAAGCGUUGUUUCGUUAGCGUUCAGAUGGCGUGCUCUAAGAUUUUUAUAGAUGACUUCUUUAGAAGGCUUGUUGUUAAAUUCUUUUAGCAAUUCGCCCUUCAACUCCUCGUAAUUUUUUGAUUUAGUAGUUUGUGCCAAUAAAACAGCUGUGCUCGUUAACGAUCGACGCAAAAGCGGCAGUUUUUGAGGCUCUGGGACGUUUGUCAUAACGAAAAUGUCCUCAAGGGAACGAAUCCAAGCACACACAUCUUCAUCGCCUUCUCCGGUGAACUUUGGCACUAUUGUUUCUAUAUAUUGAAUAGUAUUCAUCGAUAUUGGUUUAAGGUGAGUUGGUUGAAGCUCAGCUAUUUCUUCUUCUAAAGAUAAAAGUUUUUUUUUCUAGCUCCAGGCGUUUUACUUUCAUUUCGAGUGAGGCUAUAGCAGCGGCUUCGUCAUUUGAGGUUAUGUCAUCACCAUCUCCACGUGUUUUAUCAGCCGCCAUUUCCUGACUUGUUGUCUUCUUCACGUUGUCUGCAAACAAUUGUCGUAGUUGCGUCGCCUUUGCCGUCUCUGGGUAUUCAAUACCAGCUGCGUCUAAUGACCAUUUUAUUUCUUCUGUUGUAGGCAUACUUGUAGAUUAAUCCCACUUCUGAGAUGUAAACUAAGGUUUUAUUCCAAACGAGUUUUUUACGGAGCAAGGUUUUUCCGACUUGUUUAUUUGUGAUUCCGUUUUCGAAUGAC